GGGUGCUCUCAUUUUGUUUCUGUUUUCCUCCCGUCUUCCUCAUAGUUUCAAGGGCUUCUUCGUGGAUGAAGUGCAGCCAGAACCACAGACAAUUCAGUGAUCAGGUUCUUAAAAGGGUCUGCAUUUGAGAAGAAAAGGAAAUCUGCCACCUUUACCUGACCUGCACUAUGUGUGAUUCCGGACCAUCAAAAGGCUGACUCUUAAGCAUCACUUCGGCAGAUGGAGAGACAAAGCAGCUCUGCUAGGGUUGCACUGUGAGAUGGAUUGUGAACAGGAGAAGGGAAGGAAGUACGAACCAGAGGGCUCCAGAAAGAGCAAUUCAUUUGAAAGAAGAAGGCUUGGAGAUUUCAGAAAUGGCCUGGGGUGAAAAUGAAAUGAUUUCACUACAUCAACAAGUUAAGAAGUAUGCAGAAUUUAAAGUUAUCGACCAUCAUCUUGCGUGUUGCACUGAAGCCGAAGAUUUUGAGGAUGCAUUGUAUGAAGGCAGUACUUUAUCUGCACUGAUUUUGUUAAUUUACAGUCAAUCAAAGGAACAUGCAGCGUACACUGAUUUAAUUUCUCCAUCAUUGAAUAUUAGGAACUAAUUCACCGUUCAUUGUUUUAUAGUACUCUUGUAGUACUGGGGUAAUGUUCUAAAUCGUUCUGUAUAUCACUUAAUUACAUAACUUGUU